GGAGCAGGGUCAGAAAUUACCUUUUACAUUAAGAGGCAAUUUUUGCCCCCUGGAAUUGAUUUUCAGUCACAUUUUACC